rnacentral:rRNA from 1 species
UACGAAGGGGGCUAGCGUUGUUCGGAAUUACUGGGCGUAAAGGACGCGUAGGCGGUGUGUCAAGUCAGGCGUGAAAGCCCCGGGCUCAACCUGGGAACCGCGCUUGAGACUGGCACGCUCGAGUUCGGGAGAGGAUGGUGGAAUUCCCAGUGUAGAGGUGAAAUUCGUAGAUAUUGGGAAGAACACCGAUGGCGAAGGCAGCCAUCUGGACCGACACUGACGCUGAGGCGCGAAAGCGUGGGGAGCAAACAGG